rnacentral:rRNA from 1 species
UACGAAGGGGGCUAGCGUUGUUCGGAAUUACUGGGCGUAAAGGGCGCGUAGGCGGUGUGUCAAGUCAGGCGUGAAAGCCCCGGGCUCAACCUGGGAACCGCGCUUGAGACUGGCACGCUCGAGUUCGGGAGAGGAUGGUGGAAUUCCCAGUGUAGAGGUGAAAUUCGUAGAUAUUGGGAAGAACACCGGUGGCGAAGGCGGCGACCUGGUCCGAUACUGACGCUGAGGCGCGAAAGCGUGGGGAGCAAACAGG